rnacentral:rRNA from 1 species
CAGUCGCCGCGGUAAUACGAAGGGGGCUAGCGUUGUUCGGAAUUACUGGGCGUAAAGCGCACGUAGGCGGAUAUUUAAGUCAGGGGUGAAAUCCCGCAGCUCAACUGCGGAACUGCCUUUGAUACUGGGUAUCUUAAGUAUGGAAGAGGUUAGUGGAAUUGCGAGUGUAGAGGUGAAAUUCGUAGAUAUUCGCAGGAACACCAGUGGCGAAGGCGGCUAACUGGUCCAUAACUGACGCUGAGGUGCGAAAGCGUGGGGAGCAAACAGGAUUAGAUACCCCUGUAGUCCCUGUCUCUUAUAC